UACAGAGGGUGCAAGCGUUGUUCGGAAUCAUUGGGCGUAAAGCGCACGUAGGCGGCUUUGCAAGUCAGGUGUGAAAGCCUGGGGCUCAACCCCAGAAGUGCACUUGAAACUGCAGGGCUUGAAUGUCGGAGAGGGCAGUGGAAUUCCGAGUGUAGAGGUGAAAUUCGUAGAUAUUCGGAGGAACACCAGUGGCGAAGGCGACUGCCUGGACGAACAUUGACGCUGAGGUGCGAAAGCGUGGGGAGCAAACAGG
rnacentral:rRNA from 1 species